UACCAUUCAGUGGGGGAUAACGUAGCGAAAGUUACGCUAAUACCGCAUAUUCUGUGAGCAGGAAAGCAGGGGAUCGCAAGACCUUGCGCUGAUUGAGCGGCCGAUAUCAGAUUAGCUUGUUGGUGAGGUAAAAGCUCACCAAGGCGACGAUCUGUAGCGGGUCUGAGAGGAUGAUCCGCCACACUGGAACUGAGACACGGUCCAGACUCCUACGGGAGGCAGCAGUGGGGGAAUUUUGGACAAUGGGGGCAACCCUGAUCCAGCCAUGCCGCGUGAGUGAAGAAGGCCUUCGGGUUGUAAAGCUCUUUCAGCCGGGAAGAAAACGCAUGGGUUAAUACCCUGUGUGGAUGACGGUACCGGAAUAAGAAGCACCGGCUAACUACGUGCCAGCAGCCGCGGUAAUACGUAGGGUGCGAGCGUUAAUCGGAAUUACUGGGCGUAAAGCGUGCGCAGGCGGUUUUGUAAGACAGGCGUGAAAUCCCCGGGCUUAACCUGGGAACUGCGUUUGUGACUGCAAGGCUAGAGUACGGCAGAGGGGGGUGGAAUUCCACGUGUAGCAGUGAAAUGCGUAGAGAUGUGGAGGAACACCAAUGGCGAAGGCAGCCCCCUGGGUCGAUACUGACGCUCAUGCACGAAAGCGUGGGUAGCAAACAGGAUUAGAUACCCUGGUAGUCCGCGCCCUAAACGAUGUCAACUAGGUGUUGGGAGGGUAAAACCUUUUAGUACCGGAGCUAACGCGUGAAGUUGACCGCCUGGGGAGUACGGCCGCAAGGUUAAAACUCAAAGGAAUUGACGGGGACCCGCACAAGCGGUGGAUGAUGUGGAUUAAUUCGAUGCAACGCGAAAAACCUUACCUACCCUUGACAUGCCAAGAACUUUCCAGAGAUGGAUUGGUGCCCGAAAGGGAACUUGGACACAGGUGCUGCAUGGCUGUCGUCAGCUCGUGUCGUGAGAUGUUGGGUUAAGUCCCGCAACGAGCGCAACCCUUGUCGUUAAUUGCCAUCAUUUAGUUGGGCACUUUAACGAGACUGCCGGUGACAAACCGGAGGAAGGUGGGGAUGACGUCAAGUCCUCAUGGCCCUUAUGGGUAGGGCUUCACACGUCAUACAAUGGUCGGUACAAAGGGUCGCCAAGCCGCGAGGUGGAGCCAAUCCCAGAAAGCCGAUCGUAGUCCGGAUCGCAGUCUGCAACUCGACUGCGUGAAGUCGGAAUCGCUAGUAAUCGUGGAUCAGAAUGUCACGGUGAAUACGUUCCCGGGUCUUGUACACACCGCCCGUCACACCAUGGGAGCGGGUUCCGCCAGAAGUAGGUAGCCUAACCGCAAGGAGGGCGCUUACCA
rnacentral:rRNA from 1 species